rnacentral:rRNA from 1 species
AUUGAACGCUGGCGGCAGGCUUAACACAUGCAAGUCGAACGAGUGGCGGACGGGUGAGUAAUGCUUGGGAAUCUAGCUUAUGGAGGGGGAUAACUACUGGAAACGGUGGCUAAUACCACAUACUAUCGGAUGAACCCAUAUGGGAUUAGCUAGUCGGUGGGGUAAAGGCUCACCUAGGCGACGAUCUCUAGCUGGUCUGAGAGGAUGAACAGCCACACUGGGACUGAGACACGGCCCAGACUCCUACGGGAGGCAGCAGUGGGGAAUAUUGCGCAAUGGGCGCAAGCCUGACGCAGCCAUGCCGCGUGAAUGAAGAAGGCCUUCGGGUUGUAAAGUUCUUUCGGUAGCGAGGCGUUACCUACAGAAGAAGCACCGGCUAACUCCGUGCCAGCAGCCGCGGUAAUAC